rnacentral:misc_RNA from 1 species
GAAAUGCGAUAAGUAAUGUGAAUUGCAGAAUUCAGUGAAUCAUCGACUCUUUGAACGCACAUUGCGCCUGUGAGACACACACAGGCAUGCCUGCUUGAGUGCCAGUCACCCAAGUCGCUGCACGCGCACGCGCGCAGCGGACGAGUAUGAGCAAUCGCAGAGUGCAUUGCGCGCUGUGGUGGCUUCAAGUACACAGUGUGGCAGUGGGUUGAGGAGAGAUAGUCACAGCAUCACUCUGUGUGAUCUCAUACUAUCUCUCCCUCACCCACACACCCAAUCGACUAUUGGCCUCAAGUCAGGCAGGAGGACCCGCUGGAUUGAA